CCGGUAAUCUUGAUUCUAGCUUGUGCUUCUUCCAGCCCAAUGUUUCUCAUGAUGUACUCUGCAUAUAGGUUAAAUGAGCAGGAUGACAAUAUACAGCCUUGACAUACUCCAUUCCCUAUUUGGAACCAGUCUGUUGUUCCAUGUCCGGUUCUAACUGUUGCUUCCUGACCUGCAUACACAUUUCUCAAGAGGCAGAUCAGGUGGUCUGGUAUUCCCAUCUCUCAGAAUUUUCCACAGUUUAUUGUGAUCCACACAGUCAAAGGCUUUGGCAUAGUCAGUAAAGCAGAAAUAGAUGUUUUUCUGGAACUCUCUUGCUUUUUCCAUGAUCCAGUGGAUGUUGGCAAUUUGAUCUCUGCUUACUCCUGUUAUUUCAUCAAGGAUGACACCUUUAGUCCCAGGACCAUUCUUUGAGUGGCAUCUGUCCAGGCAGUGGGCUCUUUGAGCAGAAGCCUUGGGGCCGGGGACUGCCUGGUGGGGGUGAGUGCAGCUUGGUAGGAGGGUUAGGAGUUGGAGGGGAGCGGUAGGGGGCUGGGCUAGGGAGUGGAUGGGGUGAGUCCCUAUUUCCUGUUGAAGUAGCCUGUGCGAUCACCCUUAGGAAUUUAGGAUAGUCCACUAGUACUUCUGUUGUGGCAUUUAAUCUCAGCAGUGGGGUCAGGGGGCCAGGCAGGCUUGGCCUAGCCCUCCUACUUUUCAGCUGAUAGUUCAGGCUGGAAAGCGCCCACAGCUCAGUUGCAGCCUGGGGGGCCCUGACAGAGAGGGAGGUGGCUCCGUGCCGUGGCAUAUGUGCAGUGGACCUUCUGAGAGCCGCCUGCCUCCCUUGGCCGAGUCUCUGUCUCCACAACUGCAUCGCUCCAGCCUCUGCCUCUCUCACAUCUCCCUCUUCUGACUUGGAUCCUCCUGCCUUUCUCGUAAGGACCCCUGAUUACACUGGGCCCAGGUGGAUAGCCCCUUCCAUCUCAAGUUCUUUAAUUCAUCACACCUGCAAAGUCCCUGUCACCACAUGAGAUAACUUAGUCACAGAUUCUGGGGAUUAGAACAUGUGUGUUCAUCUGUGUGAACAUUUCUGGGUGGCCGUCAUUCAGCCGGCCACAGCCACCCGCAGUAUUUUGGCCAGAUUUUAACACAACCGCGUAAAUACCUGAUUUUAGUUUAAGAGGAACUCCUCAACUACAGCACCAGGGUCCUUCCUC
rnacentral:lncRNA from 1 species